GGGCGUGGACAAACGGUAAGGUGUUAUUUUUUGCUCCCGUUUUGCUCCUGUUAUUGCGAAGGUUCGAAUCCUUCCG
rnacentral:tRNA from 1 species